rnacentral:rRNA from 1 species
CGGCGGUCAUGGCCCAGGGGAGACGCCCGGACCCAUUCCGAACCCGGAAGCUAAGACCUGGCACGGCGAUGGUACUGCACUCGACAGGGUGUGGGAGAGUAGCACACCACCGCAAUU